rnacentral:vault_RNA from 1 species
AUACUGGUGUAGCUCAGUGGUUACUUCAAUCGCUGCGUGGGAUCGAGCCCCGGGUGCUGUCCAGUGCUUUU